CAAUACUUUUUAUACCUUACUUUGUUUUCCCUUUUUUACGCGUCUUUUCAUAUUUAUAAUGUCAUGACUUUGUAACGUUAUAUAUCGCGACAUCUUGAAUAAGUGAAACCUGUUCAUCUGGUCAAGUAUCGCAUCGUGGUAAAUCAGAAGUGUGAACACGCAAGGCUAUGAGUAUGGUGAUGUCAUUAAAAGUGAUUGGCAAAUGGCUAAAUUGAUAUUUCAUGGUGGGCUAAACUAAUAGUCUUCAUUGUUAAAUAUGUUAGUGUUUUUGUAUAAUUUAUAACCAAAGACUUGGCACGGCACUAUAUUGUUUAUUGUAAAGUUUAUUUGGGCUGUUAUCCGAAUACAUGAACGUGUUUGUUUGACAUUUUAUAUGUUGUUUAAUAUGCAGCAUAAACACGCAACAUUUGCAAAUGUACAGUAUCACGAAAAUAAUCGACAAUAAUACAGCACUAAUAUAUAAUUACACUCCUCACAUAAUUUGCAUUGUUUUACAGAUCAUGCUUUAAAGUAACAGAAAAACUAAACAAAUCAACGAAUAUUUCGCAAAAUAUUUCGUAAAAUAAAGUGAACCCAUGCAUAAUCAGUGUUCCGUAUAGCAAUAUCCAAAAAUUUCAACGCUUGAUGUUGUGUGGUAACAUAGAUUUAAAGAGAUACAAAAUGCUCGUUUUCAAUUGUUUGUGGCACAAUGUAUUUCAUUUUAAUUCCCAGCAUUGAUAUCUAUUAUACGACAAAAGAACAACAACUUCAGGCUUUCUACUGGUCCCUACUUUUCCCUACUAUUUUUUCUUAACCCUACUUUUCCCUACUUUUUUCAAAAAUAGCCCUAUUAUCCCUACUUUUUCAUUUUGCAAGUAAAAUAUUAAAGUGUAAAAUGAAGGCUUACGUGAUCCUUCUAUAGAUAUUUUGCAGAAUUUCCAUUCAUUAUGAUUCUGUUGUAAUGCGUACAGUUCAUAUGUGUUUGGGGGAUCACCUUGUGAUGUCCAUCCUUGAAAGCACCAUGGUUCCUUGGCUAGUCAGUACAGACAUACUGGUCUUUAGGAUUAACGUCUGCGCUGUCAGUACCAGUUCCGAGUAUGAAGCCUACGGAGUUGAUUCCCAAAACAGAAGCCAGUACGAAACACUCUCUGAAACUUCUUUUCAUGAAUAUUCCGUCAUAACACAUGGCGGCACACAGCAGGGAAAUGUUAUAGAACGUGUAUCUGAUGUUUCAGAUAAUGAUUGGGAAACGGUGAAGGAAAAAAACACCUAUGCAAAUUUAGUAUUAUCGAACAAUGAAACUUAAAGUUGCAUGGUGAUUUUGGAGUGGCGACAUAAUGACAAAUGAAUCAUGCAAUUAAACAACUUACCAAAUGAACUAUAUUGCAUACGCCUUGUAGUGUUAUUUAUCUACAAAUAGUGUGUAUAUAAUGUCCAUGAGAUGUUAAUAAUUGGUAUGAUAAUCAAUGUAAUUGGUAAAUACAAUUAUUCUAUAAUGUAACAUACAUGUAUAUAGACUAUUAACGAAUCACGUUUUUGAUAUUAAGAGUAUGAACUCACAAUUCGGCUUUCUCUUUCUCUUUGAAUGAACCAGUAAAUAACAUGUGAAACAUAUAUGGUUUGACUUCUUUACACCAUUAUUUUUACGGUCCAAAAUAUCAACUACCAUCAUUAACGAGAAUAUUUAACACCCCAGUAAAAGAUCAUACAAUUGUUAAUAGCGUAUAUUAUAUAUUUACUCAUAUUUGAAAGCCAUCAUUCACAUGUUUGCGUACCUAUUUAAAUAAAAUCAAAUGUUUGGACAUGAAUUACCAGAACGAGUUCACAAUUAAAUUUUUUGAAAGAGUAUCUUGAUGACACAUGAAUUGUCAAACUAAAUGGUAUAAACAAAUAUAUAUUGUCUAUUAAUUAUUGUGUUAGUGUUUGUUAGAUAAUCUUAUAUGUAAAAGCAGCAUUAUCUCUAUUUGAGUUUGCCUAUAAUAACCGUAUGUACCUUUAAUCAAGCAUUUUGCUUUGUUGUGUCUACGAAGUUUCUUUCAAUAUAAUAUUGACACUAGAAGUCUCAAAAAAUAAAUUCAAACUUAAAACGUUCUGCUAGUGUUUAAAUUUUAUUUUAGCAUCAGCUCGUGCAUAAAAUAUGCUCAUAAUAAUAAUUAUUUAAUUAUUCAAAACUCACUAUUGUUAUUGUCGCAUGACAUGAGCGCAUUGAUUUGCUGAUUUGUAUCUAGCAUUAUACUGUUAUGAUAUUGUGUAAAAGUAAACAUUUGUCUUAAUUACAAUGUUAUUGCAAAGUCGUGCAGUAUGCUUAUGGUUCAUCUUAUCACAUCUCUUCUCUACAUAAAUGCUAUAUAGGGAUACAAUUGUUCAGUCAUCAAGAACAAUCAUAUGUAGUGAUACAGCUGUUCAGUCAUCAAGAACAAUCAUAUGUGCUAAGUAAAAUUUUCAAGUGAUAACACAUGAAAUACUCACAAUAAUUAUUCUAUUUAUUAUAUGUCUGAUAUUUCUUUUUCAAUUGUUUAUUCUGAAGUUUGUGUCAGUCAUUGUGAUACUUCUGUAUAGUUUAUUCAAUGUUUUUGUUUUAAUUUGGUUCAUAAGAUCAACGUUUUAUUCAUGAAAACAUGUACGGUUUUUUAAUCUUAAUAUAAAUAAUAUAGAGGUUAAUAAAGCAUGGGAAACAAAUCAUUCUGAAAAACAAUUUAUGUAAGGCUGACACAGUUGAUUCCCUUUGUUUGCAAAGUUUAACAUCACAGUAAGACACGCAUUCAUUGAAAUAUACUGAACUUAAAUAUAUGAGAGUUUUUCUUCUGUGUUCCAAUAAUUGUAUUUGAGGAUUUGUUUUUAUCUAAGAGAUAAUGGUGUUAUAUUCUAUUACUGUCAUAAUUGUUAUUUACGUGUUGCUGUCACAUUCCAUAAUAUGCUAUAUUUGUUUAUUGUUUGCAUACAGUCAUGUUUUUGUUUUUAUGUAAAAUGUCCGGAUGAAAUUUAGAGAAAAGAAAUUCUGUGUGUAUAUAUAGGACAUGAUGUGUAUCAUAUAUGUGUACUUUUGUAUUAUCCAAUCUAUAUAUCAUUAGAGUAGUGAAAGUUUACUGAAAAAAUGUAUUAUAGAACAAUAAAGCAGAAAUCUAGCCAUAUUCUUAAUCCAGUAAAACAAGAAAUAUAAUUAUAUAUCACGUUAAUAUCCGACUUACCCGAAUGUUUUGCUUAACCGUAUUUGACAAUUCUCUGUAAGUGACACAUAUAUUUGUUAAUUGUACUAAGUAUAUGUAUAAAAUUAGUUUGAACUUUGAAAGAAAGUGUGUUUUUAUUGAUUACAUAUUAUGUCAGUUUUAAAUAAAACUACAUAAAAUCAAAAA